rnacentral:lncRNA from 1 species
CACAAACGCUUACUUUUCAAAUUAAAACACUACGGCAUCUCAGAUCAGGCAAUAAACUGGAUUCAAUCAUUUUUAUCUAACAGAACUCAAACAGUCCUUCUCGAAACACAACAUCUGAAAAAAAUUCCAGUAACAUCAGGCGUUCCUCAGGGCACUGUACUAGGACCAAUACUCUUUCUUAUUUACAUUAAUGACUUACCUGACUACCUUAAACACAG